rnacentral:rRNA from 1 species
AUUGAACGCUGGCGGCAGGCUUAACACAUGCAAGUCGAGCGAGCGGCGGACGGGUGAGUAAUGUCUGGGAAACUGCCUGAUGGAGGGGGAUAACUACUGGAAACGGUAGCUAAUACCGCAUACCAUCAGAUGUGCCCAGAUGGGAUUAGCUAGUAGGUGGGGUAAUGGCUCACCUAGGCGACGAUCCCUCGCUGGUCUGAGAGGAUGACCAGCCACACGGGAACGGAGACACGGUCCAGACUCCUACGGGAGGCAGCAGUGGGGAAUAUUGCACAAUGGGCGCAAGCCUGAUGCAGCCAUGCCGCGUGUGUGAAGAAGGCCUUCGGGUUGUAAAGCACUUGCAGCGAGGAGGCGUUACUCGCAGAAGAAGCACCGGCUAACUCCGUGCCAGCAGCCGCGGUAAUUC